rnacentral:tRNA from 1 species
AAAAAUUUAGUUUAAGAAAAAUAUUAAUUUGUCAAAUUAAAGUUACUUUAAAAUAAUUUUUG